UGAAUUGAAGCAAAAAUUGCACUUAGUUUCGACCUAAUCUUAGAUUAUAAUAAUCCUAUUCAU
rnacentral:tRNA from 1 species